rnacentral:rRNA from 1 species
UACGUAGGGGGCAAGCGUUGUCCGGAAUUAUUGGGCGUAAAGCGCACGUAGGUGGAAUCGUAAGUCUGAUGUGAAAGCCCUGGGCUCAACCUGGGAAUGGCAUUGGAAACUGGCGACCUAGAGUGCGGUAGAGGGUAGUGGAAUUCCCGGUGUAGCAGUGAAAUGCGUAGAGAUCGGGAGGAACAUCUGUGGCGAAGGCGACUGCCUGGACCAGCACUGACACUGAGGCACGAAAGCGUGGGGAGCAAACAGG